rnacentral:rRNA from 1 species
UACAGAGGUCCCAAGCGUUGUUCGGAUUCACUGGGCGUAAAGGGUGCGUAGGCGGUCGGGUAAGUCUGACGUGAAAUCUUCAAGCUCAACUUGGAAACUGCGUCCGAUACUAUUCGGCUAGAGGAAUGGAGGGGAGACUGGAAUACUUGGUGUAGCAGUGAAAUGCGUAGAUAUCAAGUGGAACACCAGUGGCGAAGGCGAGUCUCUGGACAUUUCCUGACGCUGAGGCACGAAGGCCAGGGGAGCGAACGGG